rnacentral:rRNA from 1 species
AUGGAGAUUCUAGCAACAAGAGAGAGGGGAGUGUAUCUUCAUACCCUUGAAGAUCGCGAUGCGGAAGCGUUACAAGAACGCGGUUGGAGGAGUCGUACAUGCAACGAUUCAGAUCGCGGUCGAUUCCGAUCUAAGCGCCGAACAACGGCGCCUCCGCGUUCAACACACGUGCAGCCUAGUGACGUCUCCCGCGCCUUGAUCCAGCAAGGAGGAGGGAGAGGUUGGGGAAGACAACUCCAGCAGCAGCACGGCGGCGUGGUGGUGGUGGAGCAUCGUGGUUUCCAGCAGGGCUUCGCCAAGCACUACGAAGGACGAGGAUGUGGAGAGGUAGGGCUGUGCUGA